CAGGCCUAACACAUGCAAGUCGAACGCCCCGCAAGGGGAGUGGCAGACGGGUGAGUAACACGUGGGAACGUACCCUUUGGUUCGGAACAACCCUGGGAAACUAGGGCUAAUACCGGAUACGCGCGAGAGCGGAAAGGUUUACCGCCGAAGGAUCGGCCCGCGUCUGAUUAGCUAGUUGGUGAGGUAACGGCUCACCAAGGCGACGAUCAGUAGCUGGUCUGAGAGGAUGAUCAGCCACAUUGGGACUGAGACACGGCCCAAACUCCUACGGGAGGCAGCAGUGGGAAUAUUGGACAAUGGGCGCAAGCCUGAUCCAGCCAUGCCGCGUGAGUGAUGACGGCCUUAGGGUUGUAAAGCUCUUUCGCGCACGACGAUAAUGACGGUAGUGCGAGAAGAAGCCCCGGCUAACUUCGUGCCAGCAGCCGCGGUAAU
rnacentral:rRNA from 1 species